UCCCUCAUUGGCACGCUGGGGCUUUUCCCGCGUGCUCCCGGGGCUGAAGGACGUUCCCGGGGAAGCCGCUGCUGGCGCGUGGGGUCCCGGUGGCUGUGGGGGACGCGCCGGGAUCUCCGGGAUCCCGCAGCCCGCCGCCGCCGGUGGGGAGCCGGACGCGGGGGGCCUCGGCGCUGAGGUCCGCAGGGGUGCCGCGCCCUGGAGUCCGGCUGCCUAGGAGUCCGGGCGUCGCUGCCGGCCGUGGGGGAGGGGCGAGCCUCCCGCCAGGCCCCGCCCCCUCGGCGCCGCGUCCCCACGGCCCCGGCGCCGCCCGCCUGCGCCCGCCUCCUGUGCCCGCCCCCGGUAAUACCGGAAACAAAAGGAGAGGCUGCAAUCGCAAAUUGUUUAAAAAGAAGAAAAAGGAAAGAAAAGUUGAAUGUAAGAGCUCCAGCCCCUCAAUGUGAUCUUGUACGGUUUGCAGUAAGAACAUUUCAUUCUUCCGCAUUUUAUUUUUCCUUUUGCUACUGUUGGUGACAACUAGCAAAAUAAGUGAAAAAUCCUCGUUCAAGUGUUCUGGCAUUAAGAUUGACUGUCACACUGAAUUCUGUGCCAAUCCUAACAACAUGUGUUCUUUUUCUGGUCUUCACAAGUAAGAAUGUCUUAGGUUUUCCAGAAAUAAAGAUGUCCCAAAAGAA